UGUUCAACAAAACGACAUCGUUUAAUAAUAGGAGGCGUUUGAAACGCCUCCGAAUGUGUUGUGCCUCACGCGCUUGGUCUCCUCUUUUCAAAGCCUAAUUUUGAAUCUCAGACCCAACUUUUCUCUCUCUCUCUCUCUCUCUCUCUCUAAAUCUCAGAACGAUUUCGAAGCUCCACCACUGUCUCUCUUUCUCUCUCUAAAUCUCUCUCUCAACUCUCUCUAAACCCUUAUCAGAGCCAUUCAGAGAUUCAUCUCAGUGAUUUCAUCACAAAGAUUCAGAGCGAUUUCAUCUCAGUGAUUUCAUCGCAGAGAUUCAGAGAUUCAGAUCGGUCUCCACCAUCUGCACCAUCGUCUACAUCAUCAUCUACACCAUCGUCUCCUAAGUUAGCCCCAAUCCAAGAUUGAUCCAUAUGAGGUUAGGGCCCGUGCUAAACAGGUUGUGCAAGAUCAGCGCCGUCUGAAGGUUGGUCUUCCAAUCUCAGUUUUAUCGAUUCUUCUCUCUCUCGAUCUCUCAAUCUCUCUCGAUCUCUGUCUCUCUCGCACAAUCUCGUUAUAUGCGUACACAUUAUCUGUAUUUUUUUUUGGAUAAUUUUUUUUUUCUCUUAAAAAUCUCUCUAUACAAGUAUAUAUAUGAAUUUAUAUAUGUAUUGAUUGAAUAAUCAUCCUUUUUUUUGCCCUGGCUCAGACGAAGGGUCAUCUCCUUUUCAUCAAACACAAGAUGAAAAAUCUGACAAAAUAAAUUGCUCACUUUGAACAACAUAUUGAUUGGAUUUCCAAGUUGAUGUAGAUUGUUAUUGUGACUUGUAUAUAUAUAUAGUUGGUGGAAUGUUGAAAUUUGAGAACUUCGUUAUUGUUUAUGAACUACAAAUAACUCAUUUUGGAUCAGUUGGAGUUGUAGGAGAAAAAGGGGCAGAUGAAUGUGUGGGUUUAACUGUUUCUGAUUUAAUGAAGUAACUGUUGAACAUGAUCUUGUAGAAAAAUGGUCUUGUAGAAAUGGGAUUGAGUCUUUAUUAUAAGAUGAGACAGAGUGGUUUGACACCAGAUCAGUACACCUUUGCAUCAGUCUUUAGAGCGUGUGCCACUUUAGCAACAUUGCAGCAGGGCAAGCAAGCAAAAUACUUCGUUGUUUGUCUUUGCAUUAUCAGCUGCUUAUAUGUAUUGACCCUUUCUCAUCUAUAAAAAUUAUACUAAUGCCCUAUUCUAAAGGUGGUUUUUGAGUGUGAAAGUAUUUUUCUUACAUUUUCAUAGUUAAACUAAUUAAAAUAUACAUGUUCAUUCAUGUAGGGAAUAAGUCGAUAUUCACCAAUAAUUAAUAAAAUUUGGAUAUAAUUAACCCAACAGUUCGAAUUUUGAUGCAUUUCCACUUGAAAGUUUGUUUCUCAAAUUUGCAGCAGAAAUAGUUUUUGGAAAAAUAUUUCAAUUCUCUCCUCAUUUCAUGCUCUUUCAUAAUGCAUCACAAGUUGCUUACAAUUGAGAAAGAAAUUUGAUAUUUUGAGAAACAAUUGAGAAAAAAAAUUUCAAUUAUUUGGUAGCUAUUUAUUAUCUUUUUGCUUUUCAAUCUCCCAUUUAUCUUAAUUGCUGAUGUGGCAGGGAAGGAUAAUCAACAUAGCAUCAAUUGUUGGUCUUGUUGGUAACGUUGGGCACGCCAAUUAUAAUGCUGCAAAGGCAGGGGUACUUGGCCUCACAAAAACCAUGGCAAGGGAAUAUGUGAGUAGGAAUAUUAAUGGACACCAGAGUUCAUGGCUUCAGAAGUAUAUGCUGAAGAAUAAAAUGAAUUGGUUGAUAGCUUAUUUCUAGUUAAUGCCUAGAAAUAAAUUAUUUUUCUGCCUUUUUCUGCUAUUUCAAAGCCUCAGAAAUGACUGAUUUGUUUAAAUUGUUUUCCAGGUACAAAACAUUCUUCAACAGAUGGUGAGUUGUAAUGUAGAUCUUAUGUUUAACACUUCUACAGUUAUUGAUUUAUUGAUUUGGCUUCCA